CGGGGCGUGGCUCAGCCCGGCUAGAGCGCUGCGUUCGGGUCGCAGAGGUCCCCGGUUCAAAUCCGGGCGCCCCGA
rfam:Thermanaerothrix daxensis strain GNS-1 contig_1, whole genome shotgun sequence.